rnacentral:rRNA from 1 species
GACGGAGGGUGCAAGCGUUGUUCGGAAUUACUGGGCGUAAAGGGCGCGUAGGCGGUCUGUUAAGUUCGGUGUGAAAGCCCCCGGCUCACCUGGGGAACUGCGCCGGAAACCGACAGACUCGAGUACCGGAGAGGAGGGUGGAAUUCCUGGUGUAGCGGUGAAAUGCGUAGAUAUCAGGAGGAACACCAAUGGCGAAGGCAGCUCGCUGGGACGUGACUGACGCUGAGACGCGAAAGCGUGGGGAGCAAACAGG